UACGAAGGGGGCUAGCGUUGUUCGGAUUUACUGGGCGUAAAGCGCACGUAGGCGGAUCGUUAAGUCGAGGGUGAAAUCCUGGAGCUCAACUCCAGAACUGCCUUCGAUACUGGCGAUCUCGAGUCCGGAAGAGGUGAGUGGAACUCCUAGUGUAGAGGUGGAAUUCGUAGAUAUCAGGAGGAACACCGGUGGCGAAGGCGGUUCUCUGGGCAUGUCCUGACGCUGAGGAGCGAAAGUGUGGGGAGCGAACAGG
rnacentral:rRNA from 1 species